GGGGGUGUGGCUCAGUGGCAGAGCGCUUGCCUAGCAGGUGUGAGGCACUGGGUUUGAUUCUCAGCACCACAU
rnacentral:tRNA from 1 species